AAAGCAAUCUGCUUGUUUCCUUUACAUUUGUUAAGUUGGCACUGAAUAAUUAUAACUUUGUAUAAUAAAUAUCGCCACCUUUAUGUAGGUGUGUCUUACGUAACAGAUACUUAAGCAGCAGUUACAGCAGUGACGUGCUUUUACAUUUCCUAUAAAUAGUAUGGCUCAUUUGAUUUUUUUGUUCUGCCAUCAUCUGAGUGCACAAGUUGCCCAACCUGAACGAAGAUCAAGUGGUCAACCAGAUACAAAAGCAAACACUGGAGUUUCUGCAUUCUUUGGUCCAAAUUUGGCUCCCAAGUUGCCUGUCUAUUUUUUUAAGGUGAAGCUGCUAAUUCUGAGGGCGAGAGUUCAAGUGUUAAUUCCUGUAAGAGUCCUUUUUCCUCAGAGAGCAGUUCUCUCCAGGUUCAGAUAUCUUGGCACCAGCCUUACACACAGCAGACCUGCACUAAUAGCAGAUGGAAAUGUCCAGGUGGCACCAGCAAGCAGCUUUUGAUUCUGUGCUGGUAAGGCAGUGGACAUUAAUUAGGCUAAAAUGCAGAAAUAUUCCUGGAGUAAAGGCCAGAGUACAUUUUGUACAUAUUGUACAAAUAUCUAAUUUUGGAUAUUUACUGGUGUCAUAAACUUGUGCUGCAUAAGCAUAUUUGUUAUUGUUCUAGCUCAUGUUGGUAAAAUUCUGUCAUUAGCCAAACAAAUUCUUCAAUUUCUUAAAUAAUUGUGAAGAUUUGGUGCAUGGGAAAAGAGUAAAAGAUUUGUGGAAUCACACUGUCUGUGAAGAGUGGUGCCAGCUGAAAAUGUCAGUGCAUGGUGAGCCUGUAAAUUCAUGCCUGAAUAAAGAUUUAUAAUUUAGGAUGAAUGAGGAGGCUUUAAGAGUAAUCCUGAAAUUCAUACAGGCUGACAUUGUGUAACGCCCAUAUCGAUUCCAGUUUUAUGCUAUAAUUAUAAACUAUAAAAUAAAUAGAGAGAGAAAAGAAGAUGUACUCCAGCACAGAAUCAUCAUCAUCAUCAUAAUCAUAAGCACAACAUUUCUACAGUUUCCAUUAGUAUCUUUAUUAGUAUUAGUAGUAGAAUCAUUUUUUUUCAGUGUACACAUUAUGCUGUACAUUAAUACGAUAAAAUGUAUUAGGAAGUUCUUAUUUUUUCUUUUUUGAAUUGAAUGUCAAGAACACAUGCAUAUUGUGCACAAAUGUGUUUGUCUACUCUGUUUUCCUUUCCCCUUAAAACUGAUACUGUAUAUGAGGGAAAAAAAAAGAAAAAGAAAAGAAAAAAAAAGAGCAAAAGCAGUUGCAAGCUCUUUUUUCUUUGUAAAAUUGUAUGCCAUGAAAAUGGACAUAUACCUAGAAAAUAUUCUAUGGGAGAUAAUUUACCAAACUGUUACUAAACGUGAUGUGAUUAACUUACUAUGCACAAUAUUUCCACUAUGUACAAUAAUUCCUGUAGAAUUAACUGAAGCCUUAUUUCUUGAGUUCUUAAAUAUGUAUUUGGUCAUUUCUUUCAUUUGUCUACCAGCUGACCGCUGAACACAAGGUAUGUUUCCAACAAGGUUAAUCUGUAUUAAAUAGUACUUAUUAUGGGAUUGAUAUUUGAGAUUGAGGAUUCUUUUAAACGUACAACACAUAACACACAUUAGACAGAUAUCAUGUAAUAUAUUAUAUAAUCUAAUGUAAUUGUUUUAAAUUGUGUACUUUAUUUGCAGACGUUCAAUCAUUAAUAAUGACAAUGCAAGCAGAACAGAAAAGCCUCUUUUUUGUCACCUGGAACACAAAUGGUAUUAAAAAUACCAAGAAGGUGACUUAAUGAAAUGCUAGUCCACUGCAGGGCACCAUGCACACACACACAUGCACAUGCGCACACACACAUUCAAAAGCAAUUUAGUGCAGCCAGUUCAUCUACCUGAAUAUUUUGGACAGUGGAAGAAAACUGGAUAAUUAGAAGGAAACCCACACAAACACAGGGAUGUGAACACAUGAAACGUAACACAGACAGUAACCUGAGCUCAGGAUUGACACAGGGAUAGUUGGCAACACUAUCCAGUGAACCAGCAACAACAGCAUCAUAUUGCGCCCUUGGUGCUUUGGCCCUAAUGAUGCUAACCAUACAAAGUGCUUAAAAUGAUCAUGAGUUUCCUCAAGGCCUCCUGACAUGAAGGAGUAUCUAGCACACCCUUGCCUGUGACCUCACAUGACACUGCCUGAGUUCUGCACUAAAUUCUAUGUUUGUGUGUACAUUAGAAGUGAGAGCAGUUGAAUCAACUAUAUAGUAAGUAAUUAAAGUUGUGGCAAUAACUCUUCAUCAUCAUCAUCAUCUAUUGAGUUAAAUUUUCUGAAAAGCAGGAUGGAAAACUUGACUUGAGAAUUAGAAUCAAAUAGAUGAAAAAGUACAAUUUUGUGUUAGAAUGAAGCCCUGAAUGGACAUCUGGUAUUUUCCUUCAAAUAUGUUUUAUAAAUUAAUUUAUAGGUAAAGAAGCACAUUUAAAAGUGAUUUGAAUGUAGAGUGUUGUAUGUAUUAUGUAAUGAAAUCAAAGUUCUUCUGUGGAACUCAAUUUGUCCAUUUAUUAACCCCAUCCUCAAUCUGGCUCUCAGGAAGCUACAAGAUCUGAUUCUCAAAACUGACACAGUUCUCGACUAGUGUUUUCUUUAACAGAUAUGUACUUUAAUUUUGUGCCUUAUUUUCACAGGGAAUCCAGAAUUUGUCUUUCACAUAGGUUAGAUCUGACAAUGCAAAAGAAAAAGAUUUCUCAUGUUUCCAUAUGUAUGAAGGCAGUUUGACUGUAUUGAUUGUCUGCAUGGGAGUUGGAAGCAGGGACUAAACAUGAGAAGAAAACUGGAUGUGGACAUUUAGAUCAGUCUGUGUCUAAGGAUUACCGUCAUAACAUGCUGUGAGCAGUAGCUGUUCUGAGGUCAACACUGAGUGCACAAGUUGCCCAACCUGACCUAAGAUCAAGUGAUCAAGUGAUCAACCAGCAACAACAACAACAACAACAACAACAACAACAACAACAACAACAACAACAAACACAGGUGACUGCUGACACAAGGCUUCCAGCCAGAGGUUUAAUCAAAAAUGACAUCAAACGCUGAAACAAACCUCUGUUUUGUCUCCUGGAACACAAAUGGUAUUAAAAAAAGAUUGUAAAAAUAUUGGACGUUCUCUGUAACCUUCAAGCUGAUAUUGUUUUUCUACAAGAAACACAUGUUGGGCCAACAACAAAAUGUCUCCAAGCCAUUAAUAUUGUUAAAAACUGGGACGUCUACAAUACUGAAUACAGUUCUCAAAGCAAAGGAGUUGCAAUACUGAUAAAAAAAACAUACCAUUUGAGUACAUAUGCCAUGAUGAGGAUUGUAGUGGAGGUUACAUUGUGCUCUUCUGUCAUCUGUAUGGUGAACUGUACACUCUUGUUAACGUGUACAAGCAUAAGAAAGACAAAGUUGUCUUGAAUAGGCUGAAGGACUAUUUGAUGGCGAGAGCUGAGGGUGUGCUAGUGGUUGGAGGUGAUUUCAAUUCACUUUUAGAUCCCAGAGUAGAUCGCAAUCCUCCAAGGUCAAGAGAAUCACCAUCAAAAGUUUUAGAAGACUUUAUUGCAUCACUGAACCUCAGAGACACCUGGUCAAACAUACAUACUGAUAAUGAUACAGAGAGAUUUACAUUCAAAUAUCCUCGUGGUUUUUCCAGAAUAGACAUGUUUUUCCUGCAAAAUGCCACAAUAAAUCAAGUACUUAGCAUUACAGUUGAAAAAGGUUUUGAGGGACAAAAAAUGGAUCAUUUCCCUCUCGUCUUAAAACUCCCCACAAGGUUAAGGACAUAUGAAUACAAUCCUGACAGGUGCCAAGGAAAGAUUAGUCUUAAAGAAAUACUGAGUGCUAUAAAGUAUUUAACUGACAAAGAAGAACCCAGACCAAAUAUGAAUGAUGAGAAGGUCUACAAAAAAAAAUGCUGUACAAUGAAGAUUGACUACAAUAAAAUAUUAAAUACACUGAAGGUACCUAAAAAUUAUAAACCUUCAGGAGACAACAACAUGGAAUAUUUGAUAUUUUCAGAAAUUUUGGCCAAGCGCCUCUUGCCAUUCAGUUCAUGUGAAACUGAUAACUGUGCCACUGUGAACAUUGAGAGCCCACAGGAAAUCAAGUGGUCUUACCUGAAGACAAUAUUUGAUAAGAUAGAUUAUUGUUAUUAUAAAGAGAAAGACCCAAAACAGGCCCCGUUUGCCCCCCCACCAGACCUCCGCAUUCUGGAUCGUCUUCUUCCUAAAGUCCAAAACUCUACUGAGGAUCUCAGAGUUUUACAGCCUAACUGUCCACUAGCCAAUGCUAUCCUCAAUCUGGCAAAUAAACAGCUGGUUGAUAUGCUUCAGUUGUUCCAGAAUGAUUCAGGACUGAAGUUAAAUACUGUACUUCAUGUACUCAAACAAACACACACACACAAAUAAGUCACUUUGAGCCUAAAUAAUUGAAGAACUUUUAAAGGGCCUUUAACAGCAAUUAGAACAUUAAGCACAGGACAGGUUGAGAAGUUUUAUUCCCCCUCUACAGCAGCUACAUCACAAAUUGUGCUACAACCUCUCUAUAAACAUCAGAGGUACACAUCUAUUUUAUGUCCAGAUGAAAAAAAAACAAAAAACAAUACUUAUGCUGGCUUUUAUCUCUUAUGCAUUACUUUAUUAUAUUUAAUUAUGAUUGCUAUUAUGAUUUUGUUGAUAGUAGCACAGUGGGUAAUCACUGUCCAUCACUAGUCCGAAUUAAAAUAGAUUCAGAAAAUAUCAGGGAUUUCAGGCACUAUCUACAGUUACUUUGAUUUGCUUAGAUUGGUUUAGCUUUGCUUCACGAGCUGGGAAUAUUGUAUUAAUUUCUAAGUUGUUAGGGUGUAUUUGUACACGUAAAAUGAAACUUUUAUUUAAAAUGUUUAAAAUUUGUAUAGGAUAUAAGAUUUGUAAUUAAUUUUGUUGUUGAGUUUUGUAAAUUAUUACAGCAAUGGUGCAGUGCUUUGUGCAAUCACAUUAUAUAUACAUUAACAGUGUCUUUCUUUUUUUUGCCUUCUUUUUUUUUUGCCUUUGUCAAGAAUAAUGCUACAUUCAUGUUUACUGUGUUUAUGAGAUACUUAUAUUUGAAAAAAAAGGCAUCCUUAAUAUGUAAUAUUUCUUUCUUGGAGAUGUUUGGCUAUCCUAAUAGACAUUAUGGAAGUUUGUACAGAUGUGCAUCAUGUUUGCUUGGUUGUGUAUUAAUCUGUUACUUCCAUCCCAGCUUUAAUUGAAGACUUUCUGCUGCAAGGCAUUCACCACUAAGUAUUAUUUUAGAAGCUUUUACGGCAUCUCUGAAUCUUAGAGACACCAUGCCUUCACUUUACUGAUGAGGGCUUUACACAGUUUCACAACAAGUCAUUCCUGGAUAAACUUUAGACACAAUGGGAAAAUACAAACUACAGAGCUAUAGAGUUAAACUACAGAAAGUUUUGAUAAAUGUCCUCUUGUACUAAAAGAGCAAAUACAUUUAAAACAGAACAAAACAAAAAACUCUGGAGAGAGAUACAGACACAGAGUGAAAUAAAAAUGCCCACUGAUGAUAUCAUUAAAUCUACUGAAGUAACAGUUUCGAAGUAGGAAGUGAAACGUGUAUGUGGUGAACACAGACGAGAGGAGUGAUACACACAGUGAAACAUUCCAGUGCGGUUAUAGGAAAUAUAUUCGCUCUUGGAAUGCCGCACGACCAAUCAGAUUAGUGGAACUAACUGUUGUAUAAAGGUUCAUAAUCUAUCAGCAUACAUGCUUCUCUACUUCCUGUGUCUGUUAGCACAACA
ensembl:lncRNA